CCUACGGGGGGCAGCAGUGGGGAAUAUUGCACAAUGGGGGAAACCCUGAUGCAGCGACGCCGCGUGAGUGAAGAAGUAAUUCGUUAUGUAAAGCUCUAUCAGCAGGGAAGAAAAUGACGGUACCUGAGUCAGAAGCCCCGGCUAACUACGUGCCAGCAGCCGCGGUAAUACGUAGGGGGCAAGCGUUAUCCGGAUUUACUGGGUGUAAAGGGAGCGUAGACGGCAGUGCAAGUCUGGAGUGAAAGGCGGGGGCUCAACCCCCGGACUGCUCUGGAAACUGUACGGCUGGAGUGCAGGAGAGGGAAGUGGAAUUCCUGGUGUAGCGGUGAAAUGCGUAGAUAUUAGGAGGAACACCAGUGGCGAAGGCGGCUUACUGGACUGUAACUGACGUUGAGGCUCGAAAGCGUGGGGAGCAAACAGGAUUAGAUACCCCUGUAGUC
rnacentral:rRNA from 1 species